AAGUCGUAACAAGGUUUCCGUAGGUGAACCUGCGGAAGGAUCAUUAUUGAAGUUGAAUGCAGGGUUGUCGCUGGCCUUUUACGAGGCAUGUUGCACGCCUUGCACUUCUAAUUCAUCUUCCCUUUGUGCACUCUUGGCGUAGUUCAAGGCUGACCCUUUUCAAAAUGCUUCAUUGCAUUUUGGUUUGAAGACUGCGACUCGUCGCUUUCUUUGUGUUUGACGCCUUGGGCUAUUGCACCCCCUUUAUAAACUCGUAUAACCUUUGAAUGUCUUGUUUUACUAGGGUCUUUGACCUGUAAAUCUCUAUACAACUUUCAGCAAUGGAUCUCUUGGCUCUG
rnacentral:misc_RNA from 1 species